AAGAAACGUGACUGUGCAGUGUCAUUGGCCAGACAAUAUGCUCGAAGAUGUAACGUUUGUUCUCCUGAAAACAAGUACCAGAAAGCGUGGAUAGCACCAGCAACCUGAAGGACAAAGGAGACUUCUCCCUUAAGGAACGUGACAGUCAAUGACACUGGAAACUACAGCUGCGUCUACUACCAAAGGCUCCUUUCUUGGCCUCAGACCCCAGUAACCACCUUGAAAUCUUGGGCUGUGUGCUGUCCGAGGAAGCAGGGGGACCGACGGGACGCUCCCCAAGCCCUUCCUCGGCGCCUGGCCCAGCUUUCUGGCACCUGCCGAGGGUGACCC